AUGUACUGGAUCAGACAGGCUCCUGGAAAAGGACUGGAGUGGAUUGCUUAUAUCAGUGAUGGUGGUGUUGAUGGUCAGACUCUGACAGAAUCUGAACCAGCAGUUAAAAAGCCUGGAGAAUCCCACAAACUGACCUGUACAACAUCUGGAUUCACAUUCAGCAGCUAUGCUAUGGCCUGGGUCAGACAGGCUCCAGGAAAAGGACUGGAGUGGAUUUCUUUUAUCUACGGUGAUGGUGGUGGCAAAUACUACUCUCAGUCAGUUCAAGGCCGGUUCACCAUCUCCAGAGACAACAGCAGAGAGCAGCUGUAUCUGCAGAUGAACAGUCUGAAGACUGAAGAUUCUGCUGUUUAUUAUUGUGCUCGACACUCACAUGACUACUAUAUGUACUGGAUCAGACAGGCUCCUGGAAAAGGACUGGAGUGGAUUGCAACUAUCAGUGAUGGUGGUGGUAGUAGCAAAUUCUACUCUCAGUCAAUUCAAGGCCGUUUCACCAUCUCCAGAGACGACAGCAGAGAGCAGCUGUAUCUGCAGAUGAACAGUCUGAAGACUGAAGAUUCUGCUGUUUAUUAUUGUGCUCGAGACUCACACCCUCAGACCACUAAUGAUUUCAACACUAGUUCACAAUAA